GACGAACGCUGGCGGCGUGCUUAACACAUGCAAGUCGAACGGAAAGGCCCUGCUUUUGUGGGGUGCUCGAGUGGCGAACGGGUGAGUAACACGUUAGUAACCUGCCCUUGACUUUGGGAUAACUUCAGGAAACUGGGGCUAAUACCGGAUAGGAGCUCCUGCUGCAUGGUUGGGGUUGGAAAGUUUCGGCGGUUGGGGAUGGACUCGCGGCUUAUCAGCUUGUUGGUGGGGUAGUGGCUUACCAAGGCUUUGACGGGUAGCCGGCCUGAGAGGGUGACCGGCCACAUUGGGACUGAGAUACGGCCCAGACUCCUACGGGAGGCAGCAGUGGGGAAUAUUGCACAAUGGGCGGAAGCCUGAUGCAGCAACGCCGCGUGCGGGAUGACGGCCUUCGGGUUGUAAACCGCUUUCGCCUGUGACGAAGCGUGAGUGACGGUAAUGGGUAAAGAAGCACCGGCUAACUACGUG
rnacentral:rRNA from 1 species